rnacentral:ncRNA from 1 species
UAAUAAACACGGCAAACUUAUUGAAAAAUAAGGACGCAAAGCUAUGGGUCUACGUACUUUAAGUAUAUGGCUGCCAGGUUGCAAAA